AGACAGGUGGUGCAUGGUUGUCGCAGCUCAUGUCGUGAGAUGUUCGGGUUAAGUCCCGCAACGAGCGCAACCCCUACGUUUAGUUGCUAACGCGUGAAGGCGAGCACUCUAGACGAACUGCCGUUGACAAAACGGAGGAAGUGGGAUGACGUCAAAUCAUCAUGCCCCUUAUGUUCUGGGCUACACACGUGCUACAAUGGCCGGUACAGACGGACGCAAAGCCGCGAGGUGGAGCAAAUCCUAAAAAGCCGGUCUCAGUUCGGAUUGCAGGCUGCAAUUCGCCUGCAUGAAGUCGGAAUCGCUAGUAAUCGCAGGUCAGCAUACUGCGGUGAAUACGUUCCCGGGCCUU
rnacentral:rRNA from 1 species